CUUUAUUACAGAGUUGUGUCAAUGAGGUGGUUGGUGUUAAAUUGGCUAACACUCAUCACAUGGUUUAUGCAGGAUGAAAUGUGCAGGCUGAAAAAUGGUGCUUUGGGAUAUAUGGUCGGGAUGCUAUCUGAAACUUUUGAAUGUUAUUUUGGCGUUAAUACAUGUCACAUAUCAGUUUGCAAACAAUGUAAAAGAACAAAAAUAACUGAGUUAAUAAAGACUUAUGGUCUCUUUGGUUUUCUUUUUUUUUCUUUUUUUUUAAAACAUGGUCUCUUUUUUGCUUUCUUGAGUAAGUCAGACCUAAAAUGCAGGUGUUUCAGCCUAGGUUUGUGCUUUCUGUGGUGGUAGGGCAGCCAGCGGAAAAUACAGAGCGUAGGGGUUGGUGACGUUUUCUAGUUGCGCUGUGAUUGACUCAGUGUUCUGUCACUCAUGGGGACACUACGUCACUGCAUAAUCCAAAGGGAGAGCUCGAAAAUUCAAGCCCCUUGGGUGCUGCCAAAAAGGUACAUUAGAAGUGCCCAUCCAAGAAGUCUCAAGGUCAUUGGCCACGGUUACAAUUAUAUCAAAUCACGUUAUAUCUACCUUAGCUUUGAUUGGACUGAUGUCAAUAUAAUACUUUCAAAAUCUUAGCUAGCAAGCUAGACAAGCAGUCAUCAUCAUGAAUCAAGUGGAAAAUCUACUGGAAAAUCCUUUUCCAGCCUUGUCAUAUGAAGAGAAAAUAUAAAUAAAAUAUAUUGGUGCAUAUCGGCCAUUGGACAUAAAAAUUACACAACUUAGAAAUCUGCUAUUCAGUGGAGAGUAUGUAUGGUCCAGGUCUGGGUAUAAGGGUCUCUUUUCCAAGCUUAAAAGGAUAAACAUUCACAUGCAACACUAUGGGCCGGAAAAGGUUGAAUACAUUGAUUGGCCAUGCUGUCAAUCCAGCAUGACUUCUGCUGUGUUCAAAACAACUGGAAACUCUGAAAUCUCAGACUUCAGCGAGUGGCACUGCAGCUCAGCGCUAGAGGUGUCACU
ensembl:lncRNA